rnacentral:tRNA from 1 species
CGGGACGUGGCGCAGCUCGGUAGCGCACUUGCUUCGGGAGCAAGGGGUCGCUGGUUCGAAUCCAGUCGUCCCGACCA